rnacentral:rRNA from 1 species
AUGAACGCUAGCUACAGGCUUAACACAUGCAAGUCGAGGGGCAGCAUUUCAGUUUGCUUGCAAACUGGAGAUGGCGACCGGCGCACGGGUGAGUAACACGUAUCCAACCUGCCGAUAACUCGGGGAUAGCCUUUCGAAAGAAAGAUUAAUACCCGAUGGUAUAAUCAGACCGCAUGGUCUUGUUAUUAAAGAAUUUCGGUUAUCGAUGGGGAUGCGUUCCAUUAGGCAGUUGGUGAGGUAACGGCUCACCAAACCUUCGAUGGAUAGGGGUUCUGAGAGGAAGGUCCCCCACAUUGGAACUGAGACACGGUCCAAACUCCUACGGGAGGCAGCAGUGAGGAAUAUUGGUCAAUGGGCGCAGGCCUGAACCAGCCAAGUAGCGUGAAGGAUGACUGCCCUAUGGGUUGUAAACUUCUUUUAUAUGGGAAUAAAGUUUUCCACGUGUGGAAUUUUGUAUGUACCAUAUGAAUAAGGAUCGGCUAACUCCGUGCCAGCAGCCGCGGUAAUACGGAGGAUCCGAGCGUUAUCCGGAUUUAUUGGGUUUAAAGGGAGCGUAGGUGGACAGUUAAGUCAGUUGUGAAAGUUUGCGGCUCAACCGUAAAAUUGCAGUUGAUACUGGCUGUCUUGAGUACAGUAGAGGUGGGCGGAAUUCGUGGUGUAGCGGUGAAAUGCUUAGAUAUCACGAAGAACUCCGAUUGCGAAGGCAGCUCACUGGACUGCAACUGACACUGAUGCUCGAAAGUGUGGGUAUCAAACAGGAUUAGAUACCCUGGUAGUCCACACAGUAAACGAUGAAUACUCGCUGUUUGCGAUAUACAGUAAGCGGCCAAGCGAAAGCGUUAAGUAUUCCACCUGGGGAGUACGCCGGCAACGGUGAAACUCAAAGGAAUUGACGGGGGCCCGCACAAGCGGAGGAACAUGUGGUUUAAUUCGAUGAUACGCGAGGAACCUUACCCGGGCUUAAAUUGCAUUUGAAUAUAUUGGAAACAGUAUAGCCGUAAGGCAAAUGUGAAGGUGCUGCAUGGUUGUCGUCAGCUCGUGCCGUGAGGUGUCGGCUUAAGUGCCAUAACGAGCGCAACCCUUAUCUUUAGUUACUAACAGGUCAUGCUGAGGACUCUAGAGAGACUGCCGUCGUAAGAUGUGAGGAAGGUGGGGAUGACGUCAAAUCAGCACGGCCCUUACGUCCGGGGCUACACACGUGUUACAAUGGGGGGUACAGAAGGCAGCUACCUGGUGACAGGAUGCUAAUCCCAAAAGCCUCUCUCAGUUCGGAUCGAAGUCUGCAACCCGACUUCGUGAAGCUGGAUUCGCUAGUAAUCGCGCAUCAGCCAUGGCGCGGUGAAUACGUUCCCGGGCCUUGUACACACCGCCCGUCAAGCCAUGAAAGCCGGGGGUACCUGAAGUACGUAACCGCAAGGAGCGUCCUAGGGUAAAACUGGUAAUUGGGGCU